rnacentral:sRNA from 1 species
UUUGUCUUUGUACGCAGAGAUUAUUUCAAUGAGGAACCUUUUCUGAGAAAUAUGCUUGAGGUUCAGCUAAAUCCUCUUUUUAUAUUGUUUUUCUUGUCCUUUAUUACCUGUUUUUUCAAUCCAAAAAUGUGGAUCGUAUGUUAAGAUUUUCUGGUCAAAUUUCCUUGGCAGUUUUAUCAAUGUGGUGUUGAGAUGAUCAGGAGAGACC